rnacentral:rRNA from 1 species
ACGGGUGAGUAACACGUGGGCAACCCACCCUUGGUAUCCGGAUAGCCCGGGGAAACCCGGAUUAAUACGGAAUGGCCCAACAGCUCUUCGGGGCGGUUGGAAAAGGUAGCUUCGGCCUCCGACCAAGGACGGGCCCGCGGCGGAUUAGCUUGUUGGUGAGGUAACGGCUCACCAAGGCGACGAUCCGUAGCUGGUCUGAGAGGACGAUCAGCCACACUGGGACUGAGACACGGCCCAGACUCCUACGGGAGGCAGCAGUGGGGAAUCUUGCGCAAUGGGCGAAAGCCUGACGCAGCGACGCCGCGUGGGGGAAGAAGGCUUUCGGGUUGUAAACCCCUUUCAGGAGGGACGAAGCCACUCGGGUGAACAGCCCAGAGGGUGACGGUACCUCCAGAAGAAGCCCCGGCUAACUACGUGCCAGCAGCCGCGGUAAUACGUAGGGGGCAAGCGUUGUCCGGAUUUAUUGGGCGUAAAGAGCGUGUAGGCGGCCAUGUAGGUCCGUUGUGAAAACUCGAGGCUCAACCUCGAGACGCCGAUGGAAACCAUGUGGCUAGAGUCCGGAAGAGGAGAGUGGAAUUCCUGGUG